GAUGAACGCUAGCGGCAGGCUUAAUACAUGCAAGUCGAGGGACAGCACAGGUAGCAAUGCUGGGUGUAACCGGCAAACGGGUGCGGAGCACGUACACAACCUUCCUUUAAGUGGGGGAUAGCCCAGAGAAAUUUGGAUUAAUACCCCGUAAUAUAGUUGAAUGGCAUCAUUUGAUUAUUAUAGCUACGGCGCUUAAUGAUGGGUGUGCGGCUGAUUAGAUAGUUGGCGGGGUAACGGCCCACCAAGUCUACGAUCAGUAGCUGAUGUGAGAGCAUGAUCAGCCACACGGGAACUGAGACACGGGCCCGACUCCUACGGGUGGCAGCAGUAAGGAAUAUUGGUCAAUGGACGCAAGUCUGAACCAGCCAUGCCGCGUGAAGGAUUAAGGUCCUCUGGAUUGUAAACUUCCUUUAUUUGGGACGAAAAAGGGCCUUUCUAGGUCAACUGACGGUACCAGAUGAAUAAGCACCGGCUAACUCCGUGCCAGCCGCCGCGGUAACAC
rnacentral:rRNA from 1 species